rnacentral:rRNA from 1 species
UCCCGCCGGACCUGACUGCUAUCGGAUUGAUACUAAGCCAUGCGAGUCUUUGUAGUAAUACAAGGCAGACGGCUCAGUAACACGUAGUCAACCUACCCUAUGGACAAGAAUAAUCUCGGGAAACUGGGCAUAAUUCUUGAUAGAUCAUAAUGCCUGGAAUGGUUUAUGGUUAAAAUGAUUCGUCGCCAUAGGAUGGGACUGCGGCCUAUCAGCUUGUUGGUGAGGUAAUGGCCCACCAAGGCGAUUACAGGUACGGGCUCUGAGAGGAGAAGCCCGGAGAUGGGUACUGAGACACGGACCCAGGCCCUAUGGGGCGCAGCAGGCGAGAAAACUUUGCAAUGUGCGAAAGCACGACAAGGUUAAUCCGAGUGAUUUCUGCUAAAGAAAUCUUUUGCCAGUCAUAAAACCACUGGUGAAUAAGGGGUGGGCAAGUUCUGGUGUCAGCCGCCGCGGUAAAACCAGCACCUCAAGUGGUCAGGAUGAUUAUUGGGCCUAAAGCAUCCGUAGCCGGCUUUGUAAGUUUUCGGUUAAAUCCAUGUGCUCAACGCAUGGGCUGCCGAAAAUACUGCAUGGCUAGGGAGUGGGAGAGGUAGACGGUACUCAGUAGGAAGGGGUAAAAUCCUUUGAUCUAUUGAUGACCACCUGUGGCGAAGGCGGUCUACCAGAACACGUUCGACGGUGAGGGAUGAAAGCUGGGGGAGCAAACCGGAUUAGAUACCCGGGUAGUCCCAGCUGUAAACGAUGCAGACUCGAUGAUGCAUUGGCAUAAUAGCCAGUGCAGUGUCGCAGGGAAGCCGUUAAGUCUGCCGCCUGGGAAGUACGUACGCAAGUAUGAAACUUAAAGGA